UUUUCUUUGUAAAUGAGAUUUAUGUAAUUGUGAUAGAUUAAUGCCAAUUGUGGGGAAUUAUGCAUGUUCAUGUCCAGUUUGGACGGAUAAGAUAAAAGAACACUUUCCAGUUAACUAAGAUUUCAGGGAUGUACUAUUUCAAGUUAAUAAACACAUAACUUUAAAUGUUCCUCCACUGUCAUAGCUCUUCUGACUUUCUUGUCAUGUUCUCUCUGUUAUAAACACUAUGAGUUAUUCUGGGUAUUCUGAGACAAUCCAGGACAAUCCCCGGAGUAAUUAAUUAAUUCUUUAAUGUCAUCAAAUGCACAAAUGUCUCCUUCUUUAGGUACUAUAACAUUGUAGCCACAGGCUUUAGGGAUAAGGAUGGAAACAUAUUUCUACAGACAUUAUUUGAUUUCUUGCAAUGAAUAAUUUACUAAUUCAAGCACAUAUUGAACAACACAUUACUGAAAUAGAUUGGAGACUAGAAGGGAGUAGCCACGCAGAAAGCAGAUAGAAACAGGAGAAAUAGGAACAAAUACAUUGUAUAGUUUUGCUAAAUGGGUCAUAAGAUCCUGAGGUCCCUGUGGAGAAAAGGGAGUCUUGUAGAAUGAGAAGGUUAGGAAAGGAAUGUCAGAGGAAGAGGAAGAUAAGGGGACUAUGAAGGAGGAAAACAGCAAGCAGACACUAAUGAUCCUUAAAAUUAUGGCAUAUGUAACUUAUAACUUCAUUCCACAAAAUGAUUUUAAAAACAGACAUUUUCCCUUUCAUUAGCUUGAAAAAGAUAUCCAUCCUUUUCAAGGAAGGGAAACGAAAAAUAGACACUAAAAUGACUUUCUGAAUCAAAGUAACAGCCAUGAGAAUACAGAAGAUAGAAGAUAGAAGACAGAAAUUUUUGAACUCAUAAUCCAUUGAGCUCGAUGAUCGGUUAGAUUUAGGAUGUUAGAAAGAAAGUAGUAAAGGAAAUCGUUCUGUAAUGGAAGGAUUGUGAUUCUCAAUCAUACUAGAGGUCUCUGAAGCAGAGAAACUAGAAAUGACCACUUAUUUAAAGGGAACAAUAAGAAGAUAAAAAGAAACAAUGGGAUAUAAUGUGAAGGUAUAUCAUGUUCCACAAGGGAUUUUGAAUUUUAUCUUAUAGGGAAAUGUUUUACCUUAGUGUUUAAUUAUUUUAAAUCCAUUCUGUAAUAAAUUUAGGGAAUAGAAUGAUGACCUACCUACUAUGCUCUUUUCUUUAUAUAAGAUGAAGUUACUUGUUGUCUAUGUAAUGAGGCUGGCCACAUCUGUAUAAGGCCAACAGGAAAGCUGCCUUUACACAGAAAGAAAGCCACAACAGAGUACAAUAUAAUUUUAGACACCUAAUCCUCCCUGUUAACAAGGCUGGUAGGAUUUAUGAGUGUCUCAUAAAGAACUCGAUGAAAAUCAUAGUGAGAUUCAUUGAGAGCC
rnacentral:lncRNA from 1 species